rnacentral:rRNA from 1 species
GAUGAACGCUGGCGGCGUGCCUAAUACAUGCAAGUCGAGCGAACAGACGAGGAGCUUGCUCCUCUGACGUUAGCGGCGGACGGGUGAGUAACACGUGGAUAACCUACCUAUAAGACUGGGAUAACUUCGGGAAACCGGUGCUAAUACCGGAUAAUAUAUUGAACCGCAUGGUUCAAUAGUGAAAGACGGUUUUGCUGUCACUUAUAGAUGGAUCCGCGCCGCAUUAGCUAGUUGGUAAGGUAACGGCUUACCAAGGCAACGAUGCGUAGCCGACCUGAGAGGGUGAUCAGCCACACUGGAACUGAGACACGGUCCAGACUCCUACGGGAGGCAGCAGUAGGGAAUCUUCCGCAAUGGGCGAAAGCCUGACGGAGCAACGCCGCGUGAGUGAUGAAGGUCUUCGGAUCGUAAAACUCUGUUAUUAGGGAAGAACAAAUGUGUAAGUAACUAUGCACGUCUUGACGGUACCUAAUCAGAAAGCCACGGCUAACUACGUG